rnacentral:rRNA from 1 species
UACGUAGGGUGCAAGCGUUAUCCGGAAUUAUUGGGCGUAAAGAGCUCGUAGGCGGUUUGUCGCGUCUGCUGUGAAAACUGGGGGCUCAACCCCCCAGCCUGCAGUGGGUACGGGCAGACUAGAGUGCGGUAGGGGAGAUUGGAAUUCCUGGUGUAGCGGUGAAAUGCGCAGAUAUCAGGAGAACACCCGUGGCAAGGCGGCUUGCGUACUG